GCUGGGCUGCUGACCGCACCUGGCCGGGAGCGAGAGCCUGCAAGGAGGCCGCUGUGGCGGCGGCAGAGGGGCAGGAACAUGGACCAAGCCUGGAGGACCGCGGAGGCCCGGCGGGUGCACCCCGCCGCCCAGUGAGUGAGCGAGCGCCCGGGCGGCACGCCCACCCCGAGCCAGCCACGCUGAGCCCGCGGAGAACCAGGCCAAGUCCAUCUGCCACUCAGAAGCCUUAUCUCCUCACCUUUCUGCUGAAGACUUUCCCAGGGCUCCCCAACACCCACUGGAUUCAGGUCAGCAUGCUUCCCUAGACUCUAGCAAGUCCCUCUUGCCUUGGCCUUCUGUUGGGGUUCCACCUCUGCCCACCAGCCUCUUACAAGC
rnacentral:lncRNA from 1 species